GGAUGUGAGGGCGAUCUGGCUGCGACAUCUGUCACCCCAUUGAUCAUCAGGGUUGAUUCAGCUGAUCUGGCUGGCUAGGCGGGUAUCCCCUUCCUCCCUCACCGCUCUAUGUGCGUCCCUCCCGAAGCUGCGUGCUCGGUCGAAGAGGACGACCAUCCCCGAUAGAGGAGGACUGUUCUUCGGUCAAGGGUAUACGAGUAGCUGCGCUCCCCUGCUAGAACCUCCAAACAAGCUCUCAAAUAUUAACACUAGUUGUCCCGUAUGGUACUGUUAUUGGCCUGGGCUGCCUUCUGAAUGCCCUUCUCUAACUUUAUAGAGGAUUUAUUC
rnacentral:snRNA from 1 species